AUAAGACGGUCGGCGAGGCUGACAGGCUGCGAGGACACUCCAGCCUUGUAGCCUGUCACCUCCGGGGGGAUGAUGACCGCCUGGCAGACGUAGGCUGUGAUGGAUUUGGAGAAACCCGACUCACCCUCAGGAAUCCGGAGCAGAAGACAAGGAGGAGCGAACCAGAAGAAGGGUGUUCGGGAUGGCAGAAGAGAAGCUACAAGCCUUUCCCGUGCCCCACUUUCAAAUGCCUGCCUUUUCAAAAGCCUGCCUCCUCUCUCCCAGGUUCUCUGCAGGACACUGAGCUUCAGAGGGGAUUUAGGGGGCCUAGGUGGUUUUGGCUCAGGUCAUGAUCUUAUGGGUCCUGAUCUUGUGGGUCGUGAAAUGGAGCCCCACGAGGGGCUCUGUGCUCAGCACGAAGUCAGCUUCUCUCCCUCUCUCUCUGUCCUCUCGCUCUCCCUCUCCCCCUAUUUGGUAUAAAUAAAUAAAUUAAUAAUAAUAAUAAUAAAUAAUAAUAAUAAUAAGUAAUAAAUAAGUAAAUCUUUAAAAAGAGGGGAUUACAUCCCAUAAACCCCAUAAACACCUUACUCCUUUCUAGAAUCUCCGUUCAGCAGCAGCCUUAUGCAACUGUCAUUCCCUCCCUCAGCGGCAGAGGGAGCCCUAGGGGAAGAAGUUUGCCGCAAAGGCCUGGGGUGCGGGGAGAAGUUGCCCCGGGGUCUGCAGAACUGUGGCAUUUACUGCACAGCUAAACUAAGCAGCAUUUGCAGACUGUAUAAAUAAUGCCUCACAGAUGUUUGUGUAUCGAUGUGGUUGUGAUAAGUGAAAUAUAAAUUCAUUU